rnacentral:tRNA from 1 species
UCCCUGGUGGUCCAGUGGUUAGGACUUAUUGUUCUCACUGCCAGGGCCCGGGUUCAAUCCCUGGUUGGGGAA